GCCCCCGUAGCUCAAUUGGUAGAGCAAUUCCCUUUUAAGGAAGUGGUUCCGCGUUCGAGUCGCGGCGGGGGCA
rnacentral:tRNA from 4 species